CACUGCCGAGAAAAGCCUCUAGAUAGAAAAUAGGUGCCCGUACCGCAAACCGACACAGGUAGUCAAGAUGAGAAUUCUAAGGUGAGCGAGCGAACUCUCGUUAAGGAACUCGGCAAAAUGACCCCGUAACUUCGGGAGAAGGGGUGCUCUUUAGGGUUAACGCCCAGAAGAGCCGCAGUGAAUAGGCCCAAGCGACUGUUUAUCAAAAACACAGGUCUCUGCUAAACCGUAAGGUGAUGUAUAGGGGCUGACGCCUGCCCGGUGCUGGAAGGUUAAGAGGAGUGGUUAGCUUCUGCGAAGCUACGAAUCGAAGCCCCAGUAAACGGCGGCCGUAACUAUAACGGUCCUAAGGUAGCGAAAUUCCUUGUCGGGUAAGUUCCGACCCGCACGAAAGGCGUAACGAUUUGGGCACUGUCUCAACGAGAGACUCGGUGAAAUCAUAGUACCUGUGAAGAUGCAGGUUACCCGCGACAGGACGGAAAGACCCCGUGGAGCUUUACUGUAGCCUGAUAUUGAAAUUCGGCACAGCUUGUACAGGAUAGGUAGGAGCCUUUGAAACGUGAGCGCUAGCUUACGUGGAGGCGCUGGUGGGAUACUACCCUAGCUGUGUUGGCUUUCUAACCCGCACCACUUAUCGUGGUGGGAGACAGUGUCAGGCGGGCAGUUUGACUGGGGCGGUCGCCUCCUAAAAGGUAACGGAGGCGCUCAAAGGUUCCCUCAGAAUGGUUGGAAAUCAUUCAUAGAGUGUAAAGGCAUAAGGGAGCUUGACUGCGAGACCUACAAGUCGAGCAGGGUCGAAAGACGGACUUAGUGAUCCGGUGGUUCCGCAUGGAAGGGCCAUCGCUCAACGGAUAAAAGCUACCCCGGGGAUAACAGGCUUAUCUCCCCCAAGAGUUCACAUCGACGGGGAGGUUUGGCACCUCGAUGUCGGCUCAUCGCAUCCUGGGGCUGUAGUCGGUCCCAAGGGUUGGGCU
rnacentral:rRNA from 1 species